rnacentral:rRNA from 1 species
AUGAUGGUUGACCCAGUGAGCCUGGUGGGCAUGAUCCUAACGAUGGUGCCACUGAUCGCAAGGGCCGCGGACACGGCACAGCAGAACAAGAAGAAGUGCCGGGAGCUGGCCCAACGCGCGGGCACUCUGGCCAACGUACUGCCCAACUACACAUACGCGGCGGCCAACGACCAGGACACGGCGAGAGUGCUGCACACGCUCAAGGAGGCCCUGGACGAAGCGCGCACGCUCAUCCACUCCUGCCAAACUAGAAGCCGGAAGGCCGCUGAAUUAGACGGCGUUAAUGCAAAGAUCAACCAGUGCAUCAACGACCUCAAUUUCAUCAGAAACGGUCGCACAAAUCACGUAGCAGCAGCUGGCCCAGUCCCACUCCCAGCUCAAACUUAUGACCACGGCUCCUACUAUCAGUAUCAGGCACAAGGAGCCGGAGGUGCCUCCAGCAGCGCCUGUGUUGGAUACCCCCCGCCUCAGCACGCUCCCGUCAAUGUUCACUGGACUCCGGCUCCGUCUCCCUACCAUGCUUGUCCAGCAGCCCCCUCGACCUCGGGUUAUAAUCCAUCUUCCCUUCGGACCUUAUUUCCAACCGUCAGCAAGGUCUUUGACAGUAUGUGUAAUGGAUUCCGCUAG